UACGGGGGGGGCAAGCGUUGUUCGGAAUUACUGGGCGUAAAGGGCUCGUAGGCGGCCAACUAAGUCAGACGUGAAAUCCCCAGGCUCAACCUGGGAACUGCGUCUGAUACUGGAUGGCUUGAAUUCGGGAGAGGGAUGCAGAAUUCCAGGUGUAGCGGUGAAAUGUGUAGAGAUCGGGAGGAACACCGGUGGCGAAGGCGGGUCUCUGGGCAAUUCCCGACGCUGAGGCGCGAAAGCGUGGGGAGCAAACGGG
rnacentral:rRNA from 1 species